rnacentral:rRNA from 1 species
CUACGGGGCGCUACAGUGAGGAAUAUUGCACAAUGGGGGGAACCCUGAUGCAGCAACGCCGCGUGGAGGAUGACGCAUUUCGGUGUGUAAACUCCUUUUAUAUGUCAAGAAAAUGACGGUAGCAUAUGAAUAAGCACCGGCUAACUCCGUGCCAGCAGCCGCGGUAAUACGGAGGGUGCAAGCGUUACUCGGAAUCACUGGGCGUAAAGGACGCGUAGGCGGGCUGGAAAGUCAGGUGUGAAAUCCUACAGCUUAACUGUAGAACUGCACUUGAAACUUCUAAUCUAGAGUAUGGGAGGGGGAGAUGGAAUUAGUGGUGUAGGGGUAAAAUCCGUAGAUAUCACUAGGAAUACCUAAAGCGAAGGCGAUCUCCUGGAACAUUACUGACGCUAAGGCGUGAAAGCGUGGGGAGCAAACAGGAUUAGAUACCCCCGUAGUC